rnacentral:rRNA from 1 species
AUGGAGCCGAUCGGCGACCCGCGGGAGGGGCCGUCGACGGAGCGCGCGUUCGAGGACCAGACCAUCCCGCCAUGGACGGAGCAGGUGACGCCGCGCGCCGUGGUGGCGAGCCUGGUUCUGGGCGCGGCCUUCAGCGGCGUCAUGAUGAACCUGGUGUUCACGUCGGGGAUCGUCCCCACGCUGAACAUCACCGCCGGCCUGCUGGGGUUCUUCCUCCUCAAGGCGUGGACGCGCCUGCUCGACAAGCUCGGCGUGUUCUACGAACCCUUCACCCGCCACGAGAACGUCGUCGUCCAGACCUGCGUCGUCGCCUGCGCCAGCAUGACCUACAGCGGAGGGUUCGGGUCGUACCUGCUCGCCAUGGACCAUAGGACGGCGGAGAAGAUCAACACCGGCGAGGUCAACGGCAGAAACGUCAGCGAGCCGACGCUUCCCCGGAUUAUGGCCUUCUACUUUCUCAUCAGCUUCGUCGGAAUUCUCGCCAUUAUCCCCAUGAGGAAGACGAUGAUCAUCCGCCACCGGCUGACGUUUCCGAGCGGCUCAGCUACGGCUCAUCUCAUCAACAGCUUCCAUACCCCUUACGGAGCCAUGCAAGCAAAGAAGCAAGUGUCUCUGAUGAUCCACUCGUGCCUGGGAAGCUUUUUCAUGUCUAUCUUCCAAUGGUUUUACUCCGGCGGACCGCACUGUGGCAUGACCUUCUUCCCUUCGUUUGGGCUCGACGCCUUCAAUCGCGGCUUCUACCUCAAUUUGAACGGAACAUACGUCGGCGUCGGGAUGAUCAGCCCUUACCUGAUAAACAUCUCGAUGCUGGUCGGGGCCAUCAUCUCCUGGGGAUUCAUGUGGCCCUACAUCGAAACCAAAGAGGGGAGCUGGUACGCCGCCGAUCUCCAGGAAGGCAGUUUGCGUGGCAUCAACGGGUACAAGGUGUUUGGCGCCAUAGGCAUGAUCCUGGGCGACGGCAUCUUCCAGCUGGUGGUGAUCAUGGUGAGGACCCUGCAGACGAUGCGGCACCACCAGCUGGAGGCGGCGGAGGCGCUGCGGUCCUUCUCCGACGCCAACGCGGUGCCGCGCAACGUGCUCAGCUUCGACGACCGGCGCCGGACGCAGGUGUUCCUCCGGGAGCACGUCCCGGGCACCCUCGCCAUGGGCGGCUACGCCGCGCUGGCGCUGCUGUCCACCGUCGCCAUCCCGCACCUCUACGGCCAGGUGCGGCACUACCACGUGGCGACGGCGUACGUGUUCGCGCCGCUGCUGGCCUUCUGCAACGCCUACGGCACGGGGGUGGCCGAGACCAACUUCGCGGCGCAGUACAGCAAGCUGGUGAUCCUGCUGUUCGCGUCGUGGAUCGGGUACGGCAACGGCGGGGUGGUGGGGAGCCUCGUCAUCUGCGGCGUCGUCUCGUCCAUCGUCUCCACCGCCUCCGACUUCAUGUCGGACUUCAAGACCGGGUACCUGACGCUCACCUCGCCGCGGGCGCUCUUCGUCAGCCAGGUCAUCGGGACCGGCAUCGGCUGCGUCGUCAACCCGGCCGUGUUCACCGUGUUCCACCACUUCUACGAGGAGGCCGGGAACAAGAUCUACCAGGUGCCGCUGGCCAAGAUCUACCGGGCCAUCGCCGUGGUCGGCGUCGGCGACCUGGACCUGCCCAGGCACUGCCUGAGCAUGAGCGUGGGCUUCUUCGUGCUGGCACUGGUGGUGUGCGCGCUGCGGGAGGCGGCGGUGCACUACAAGUGGCGCGCAAGGAACUUCAUCCCGAGCGUCACCGGCAUGGCCAUGUCGUUCCUGCUGGUGCCGGCGGUGGCCAUCGACAUGUGCGUGGGCAGCCUGGUGCUCUACCUGUGGACCAGGUCGGACAGGGACGGCGCGCAGGUGUUCGGGCCGGUGCUGGCGUCCGGGCUCAUCUGCGGCGACGGGCUCUUCUCCAUCCCCUAUGCGCUGCUCGCCAGGUACGACGUCACGCCGCCCAUCUGCAUCAGGUUCGUCGCCAGGGAGCAGAACGAGAAGCUGGACGCCUACCUGGCCACUGUACUUGAGAAGUCCCGAUGA